CUGAGCGGGGGUAGAGGGUGGAAAAAACACGGAAACCGCAUAUCGUCGGCCCCGUUGGCACCCCCGCGUUCGCCACCAAAAGAGAGAAAGAGAAAGAAAAAGAGAGAGAAGGGUGUUUCCUUCCGGUCCUGCCAAUUCCUAUGAGAAAACUAACAAGGCUCAUUCAUCUUUCGUUACGUGUCGAGUAAAGGUACCGAUCGUGUAACUUCUGUCAUGAAAGAAGAAGAUUUUAAGAUUGUAAGUGGUGACCUAGUUUCUUCAGGAUCAAUCAGCUGAUCCUUCGGUAAGUACCUACGUAUCUACCUACCUACUUAGCUACCUAUCUAACUACUACAGUAGAAUAAAAUCAAAAUGAUCACGAGAAGAAAUUUCUCCCUUUGCUCGUUAAUCGAACGGUUGGAUGAUUCGAGAACCAGUUCGUAAUCGGCCCAAGUGGAAAACUGGGCUAGCAAAUAGAUAUUGAUGAUGAUAAUGAUGAUGACG